CUUCAAAAGAAUGGUGAUAUCAAUGUUCAACAGAUUCGUUCAAGCGAAAAUAUGGCUGAUUUUGUUCACAAAAUCUCUACCAAAGUCAACCUUCAAGAAGCUAGUUCACAAGAUCGGUAUACGAAGACUUAAGGACAUAAAUUGAUGUUCUUAUCAGGGGGAGUUAAUGCGCGUUGGACUCUUUUUCCCUUACAAGGUUUUGUCCCACUGGGUUUUCCUUGUAAGAUUUUUAACGAGGCAACCAAUAGGCGCAUAUUCAAACAUGUGUACUCUUUUGCCUUUUCUAUAAUUUUUUUCCCAUAUUCUCUAAGUAUCAAUAAGAAGAACUCUCUCUACUCUUCUCUCUAUUUGCUCUUGUUUUUGAGUUAUUGUUCUUGUCUUUUAUAUUAUUUCAU
rnacentral:lncRNA from 1 species